rnacentral:rRNA from 1 species
CGAAAGUUAGAGGAUUGAAGGCGAUCAGAUACCGCCCUAGUUCUAACCAUAAACGAUGCCAGCCAGCGAUCCGGCUGUGUUCCUCAAAUGACACGCCGGGCAGCUUCCGGGAAACCAAAGCUUUUGGGUUCCGGGGGAAGUAUGGUUGCAAAGCUGAAACUUAAAGGAAUUGACGGAGGGCUACCACCAGGGAUGGAGCUUGCGGUUCAAUUUGACUCAACGCAGCGAACUCUACCAGGCCAGGACACAGGUAGGAUUGACAGAUUAAGAGCUCUUUCUUGAUUUUGUGGGUAGUGGUGCAUGGCCGCUCUUGGUUAGUGUAGUGAUUUGUCUGGUUUAUUCUGAUAACUAACGAGGCUCUAGCCUACUAAAUAGACGCUCGGAUCAUUCCUAGUCCGGCGUUUCUUCUUAGAGGGACUGGCGGCGUUUAGCCGCACGAGGCAGAGCAAUAGCAGGUCUGUAACGCCCUUAGAUGUCCUGGGCCACACGCGUGCUACAUUGAAGGAAUCAUCGUGUGCUUUCCCUUUCCGACAGGAAUGGGUAACCCGUUGAACCUCCUUCGUGCUGGGGAUAGGGGAUUGAAACUAUCCCCCUUGAACGAGGAAUCCCUAGUAAUCGUGAGUCAUCAUCUCGCGUUGAUUAGGUCCCUGGCCCUUGUACACACCGCCCGUCGCUAUUACCGAUUGAAUGUCUUAGUGAGGACUUCGGAUUGGCUGUCGAUUUGGCUUUAGGGUCGAGCCGACGUGCCGAAAAGAUGUCCGAACUUGGUCAUUUAGAGGAAAUAAAAGUCGUAACAAGG